AAAAAAAAAAGGAAUUUGGUGAAAGUCAGUAUAAUCCAAGCUCAAGAUAACUCUUCAGCUUUUAGUGUGUGCUACAUAAAAGGUGUGUUAGGUUUUCUCUCUUUCUGGCUCUAUUUCCAUUAUUUAUAUAGCCUGGCAACUCUUGCUAGCAUUGCAUUUCAUGCCUUUAGCAAUGUCUCCCUAUGUUUCCCAGGUGAUACUUAGAUGUUUGUAAUACAUUGCUCUGUUCUGCGAGAACAACACAGAAAAUAGAAUUCACUGACUUGCAGUACAUCAGAGCCCUGAAGACUAAAGGGCAGGUUUUUUGCAAGUCAGGAUAGAAUACCUUUAUUUUUGAAUAUUCACUUACCAGUGGCUCCCUUUGUUCUUGGAACAGCUCUGUGUUUAUACAAAUUACCUUUGUUUGAGAAAUAAUGUAUUCAGAGACAACACUUAACCAUUUUUGUAUUGGAACUUGGAAUGGGUUUUUGUUUAGAAAGUGGCAUAGUUAAGUUAUUCAGUAAUGAAGAUCAUUCAUUUCUUUUUCUAACCUGGCCUUUAAUAAGACCUUUCUGUGUGGUGCUGAACAGCGUUGCAAGUGCUGAAGGAGUUAAAAAUGCACCAUUUCAGAAACAUUUUUUGGGUCAACCUCCAAAUUCCUUGUGGAGGGGUGGCCUAACUUUUGUGUGGAGCUGUGUUGGGAUAAUUUUCCCAUCACAAACCAUGUACACAUGGCAACUUAAAUUAAUUCCUGAUGAGUAUAGGCACUGUACAGCAGUGAAAUACAUGGUGUUGGAUUUUUUUUGUUUGUUUGUUUGUUUUGCUUAGUGGUAACUUUUUAAAAUGGAGACUAAGAGUAGCUUUAGAAGCUUAUUCACUUAUUUUUAUUUUUUUUUUUACAGAAGGCUUUGACAGACAAGGACCAUUCUAGAGUGACUAGUUGUAAUCCUGAAGAACUGCUAAAAGUAUUCCUGGGGGACAGUCCCCAUCCAGGCCACAUGCUAGCUUAUAACACAUAGGGCUCUUAGCACCCAUAGCCUAAGCUCCUUGACUUAAGUGAUGACACAAGACUUUGCUCUUGUUGUGGGGGUGGGGGGUAAAUGAAAAUGCCUAGGCCUCAUGCUUGUUUAACUUGAGUCAAAUGUAACCAAGCCACCCAUAGCUUGGAUAACUCUCAGGUACAUGGACUGCUGCGUGCAUAGCGUAUGCAUGUGGACUGUGCGUUCAGCAGCAGGAAGCUUUGGCCAGACUAGCCAUCCAGUCCCAAACAGCUAACACGCAGCUUCUGAGCUAAGAGCCAAGGAGGACUGCUGCUCCCUUAUUCCAUUUGUUCAAUAAAAGCCUCUUUCUAAAAAACAGCUGUGUCCUCACUCCCUACUUGACUGCACCCCCUCCUCAUCUCCCCAGCCCCUGGGAACCCAAAAGUGCAUGUCUAAGCAACCCUUCACCUGCCUCUGCCUCCCCACUGAAGUCAGGCAAGCACCGUGCAUUUUUUGGUCAACUGCAAGCCUCUGAAGUUUACUGACCUCAUGUUUAGGAGAAAAGGGACAGCAGAACAGUGAGAACUUCCCCAGCUGCAGGUCACCCACCCUCUGGGACCCCAAAGCAUGGGUGCAAGCACUCCUUCCCUUCCUCCUCUCUCCCCACCCAGUCGCCCUCUAUGCGGUCUAGCGGGCUGGAUGCUCACUUCCACGUGCUGGUGUUGGAGCAGCAGCACUUUCUGCACAGGUGUGAACUGGUUCCCAAUCUGUGGGGUUUGGGAAUGGCCGGUUGUGACGCGGGUUACUUCCCAGGCAGUGACACUUUGGAAUGGUUCCCUUGUCUUUAAGGGUGGACACACGUGACACAUUCUCCACUCCGCUGACUGCAACAGGCUUUGUUGCUGACCCUGCAAGAAGUAAGGAUUAGGAAGUCUUUCCUUCAUACAAGGCACAGGCGCGAAGGUCUGUAUGGUUUUAAACAGCCUCCUGUGGUUAGGGGGGAGAAAUCUGUUCUGUUGUUUUGAUUCCCCUGGGCUUGCCUAGCAAGGCGACAAGUUGAACAGUAACGCGUUGGCAGUGUCAGAGGUUGUGUUCCCCCUCCCCGUUAUUGGGAGGUAGAGAACCGCGUUAGUCUGAAGUUGGGCAAUAGGCAGGGCAAUGUGGCUGGCGCCUUGUGACCGACGUUCUUCAGAGAACCGUGAGCUCGCAUAAGCUGCGGGCUACUUGAGCAGUUAUGGUCUCCCUCAUCUGGCAAAGGUGAAAUUUGGGCAGGACUCGAGUAUUUAACAAGCAGCUCUUAAAGUAUGUUGUGAAAUCUCGUACAACAACAGGUGAGUAAGGCUUGUUUUGCACUUUACCUGAAAAGUCUGCCUUAACAGAAGCCCAAUGUCCUAUAAGAGCAAGGGUUUGCUACUGACUUUCCCAUAACUGCCACCUGCUGAAUCGGCAGCCUUCUCUGCUGAACCAGGGCGUUCCUCCACUGUCGUCCGGCCCAACACUGACUCGGUUGUGAGCCAGUUGCAGCCCCUUUCCCUUUGUCUAGGUAUAGACAAGAGUUCGCCUUCUUUCCUGCUGCAGUUAUGGAAACAGCCAUUUAAAGAGGUAUCCUGAAGGCAGUGAGAUCUGUGGCCCAUUCUUUUGAACACUUUAUUUUCUUGACCUUUGGAAGAGUUUUGUAGUUUGGGGUCAGUUGUGGAGAAAGUUCUGUUGUUGUGGUCAGUCGUGUGACCCUUGAGAUGGUUGGUUUGUUUUAUUUGAAGCUUCGGUUGAUUGAAGAGUUGGUCCCUUAGUAAGAGUAGGUUUAAAAAUAAAUAAAUAACUUGGUCUGGUGCCUUUUUAGGACCUUUACAAAUGAGGACAGCUGUCUCCUCAUUGAUGCGGCGCUUUAUGAUGAACCCACGUGAGCAGAGCAGCGGCUGAUGUUGCUUGAGUGUCAUGUAUAUGGGCAUGAGGCAUGUAUUUGGAGCUAGCUGACAACUUUUUGAGGAAUUGCUUUUGACUGAGUUCCAGUAAUCCAGCUUGGAUGUUGCAAGGAAAUAGGUUGUCCUUACCAGGGCAAUCAUCUAAAAUGGGUUUUUGGGGGUUUUUUGGCAGUCGCAAAUUAUAGGUGAUUUUGACACGCAGUAGCUUAUCAAUGGCUAGAACCAGUGCCGAGCUAAGGGCUGUGGGCCAUGGAUUGAUCUGCCCAUUUGCAGGCAGGCUCACGUAAGGGCUGUUGCAGAGCUGGUGGAAGGUGUCUCUUCCAAACAUUUUUCUUCCUGGUUCUGGCUUGCUUAGUUCUGGCCGGCUGUCUGCCAGCAGCUUACUGAUCUUCAGCAGGCUCCUGGGGCAACAGAUCUGUUUGGGUUUGAAGGUAGAGAAACUGGUAUUGCUUAUGUAUUGACAUUUAAGUCAAUGUUGUCCCAUGAUUUUUUUCCAAAAUGGCUUAAUGUCCACAUUGAAUAAGGCAGUUUAUAAUGAAGAGGCCUGAAAACACACAGUUGAGCAUUUUGUUUAGGGAGAGCAAGUUGUCAGUGUUCAUCCUUCAAGGCUGACCUGUAGGAGGAUCAAGUACUUUCCCAUUGACCCCUAAUGCUGCUUCAAGUUCAAUUCAAAAGUGUCAGUUGAUCCUUGGAUCUAGUAGUAUAAUAAGCAGCCUCCCCUGGCUGUGGAUAAGAGGAAGGCAGGGCAGAUUUGCACCUUAGCUACUCUAGUUAGUCUAGGGUAGUUAGGUAGAUAUAAUGUAGCACAAGGAGAGGUCAUCCAUAAGUACAAACCGUGUCACUUGUUUUAAGCCCUAGCCUGAAACGUGAUUGGAAUGGGCUUAGAGUCUUGGUGGGUAAAACUGAAGAUGGCUUUCUGCUGUUUUUCCAGCGUAGUUCCCUGCGGGUAAGCAGGGUUCAGUACUGGAUGGUACUUGCUGUGUUCCUGUGGAUCGGUGUUUGCCAUUCAUGCAGUGCAGAGCAGAUGGUAAACAUCCAUCUUCAGAGGAGGUGGUUGCAUGACCUCCCUAACUCGGAGAGGUUUGGGUCAGAGUUGUGUGCGUUUACAAGCUGCGGGCACUCGACGAUACCCAAAAAUGAGCAUUCCUGAAAUCGACCUUCGGAGCUGCGAUAAUACGAGGGAACGUGACAUGUUAGCCAUGAAAUGGGUGUAGCAGAAAAGCUGAAGUAUAGUAGCACUGUUCUGAUGUAAUACUUCUUAGUCUGGCCUGGAAAUAGGGCAUGCUUGCAUAGGCCUUGUCUACACAGGGAAGUUGUUCCUUCUAUCCCUAGUUAAACUUUUGUGUGGCUAAAACUGCUGUGUGCCCAGACAUGCAAGUGAGGUUUCGGUUCAUAUUUAUCUGUGAUUUCAGCACACGUGGAUUCACGUACCUGGGGUUACAUACUGAUUAGAGCAGCUGUGUGUGAUCCUGGCAAAUGACCCUUUACUGCAUUGCAGUUUGGAAGAGCAUAUAUCCAGUCCCAUCUGGGCUGUAGUUACUAGUCUGCCAGAGCCACUGGCAGAGCAAAUCCAGGAGAGUCAGAGUAUUCGGGAGACGGCCAAGUGCCACAUCACAACCAAGCUGUUCUGACACAUCUCCAGAAACAGACCCCCCUCCCCUCCCCCCCAGUUACCUGUCCAUGCUGUGAGCAGCUGGACCAGACUCUGUCACUGAGGGCACCAGUAAACCUCCUUGGGAUCCUAGAGAGUUUGGAACUGACUGUGGAAGGAACCGUGACCAGGAAGAGGUUCUCCUGAAGAGUCAAGAUACCAGCAUGUCCAGCCCUGAGCCACAGACCUAAUUGUUGGAGAUGGCACCCCAACCCCUGACCUGAGAUCUAGCUUCAAACUGAUGCGGGGGCUGCAUACAACCGACGUUCCGUAGCCUGCACGGACCCAGGGCAUAUCAGCUCUCGGAGGCCUGGCAAACCUUGGGAGAAGUGAGAUGACAGAGGAGGACACUUUCACUGGCCCUUGGGAUGGCAUCGUAACAGAAAGCUCCCAAGGCAGAAGAAAGUAGAAGUUGGAGAGGCUCUCAAAGAAGCAUAUGGAUACAGAGGAUAUGUAGGAAGGAACCUUAGACCCGGGGCAGGGGUUGAGCAGUGCUCCUGGAUAAUGUAAUAACACUGUUCACACUCAACUGCCCAGUCUAGCCUAGUCCUAAAUCCUGUGGAUAACACAGGAUACUGGGAGUUAACUUUCAUUUAUCCAAAAGGCACGUCCUGUUUGUGCGGUUUCCAUCCAAGACAAAGACGACUUCCACUUGUUUUUCCAAGUCCUUCAAUAAAUAUGUGAACGCUCUGUCCUUUUUGGCAUGUUUUGUUUUGUUGAUUUUUAAAUGUGCAUUAUUAUAUCAGUAAAGACUUCUGCGUAG